AAAUGGCGAAAAAUGACCCAUCAAGCAGGUUCUAUCAUUUUUAUCGCCCGCUUGCAACCCCACCCCCGUGGCUAGGGUUCCGGGCAAGGCUUCGCCGGCUCGUCUCCGGCGGCCCCAGGGGAUAGGUCGCUUCCGCGGUGGGGCUGGUGAGCUGGGAGCUGGUAAGGCAUACGCCCUUGCAGACGAGGAGUUCUUGCUCUAGGGAGAGAGCAGAGGGCAUGCUGGACACUGUUGUUGGUGAGACAGGUGAGGAUGAGAGAGAGGAGAGAGAGAUGAUGAUUGCUGCACAUUUAGAUAGAAGGAUUGAUGGAACUGCUACUGGCCGCUGCUGCUAGAAAGAGAGAGAGAACAGAGAUGAGAGAUAGGGUCCAACGCCUACUGAUUUGCUCUUGUGGAUAAAAAAAGAGACAGGUGAACAAGAGAGAGAGAGAGCAGAGAGAUAGAGAAGUUAUUUGGCUCAUCGUCGUGUCGCAAGUUUCUGACGUCGCUGUACACUGUGGACUUCGCCAGAAAUCCGUCUGCACAUACUUCACCGCCUGCCGGAACUUCGUCUGACCUGAGGGUGGAGAGGCGAACCUCAAAUCCGCAACAUCUGAUCUUGCUCGCUGAGUUGCUAUUCCUGGUAUACAACCCUUAAACACAAGCAUGUCUUUAUUUAAUUGUUUAUCUUGCUUUGCUACAAUGGAAGAAAUAAAAAUAAGAAACAAUUUUCGUGGUGGAUCUCUUGGAAAAUUUGGAACAGUAUUUGAUCUGGGGACAACAACUAUGAAAACAAUUGAUCUUGGAUUUGAGUUUCUUUUAAUCUUUAAAAUGAUGUACGGGGCCAGCAAAUUCAGUUAUUUGGUUUUGUAAGUUUGAUAUUUCUGAAACUUGUUAGGAUUUAGGGUGCAUAUCAGGAUAUGUGCAUCACGCUCAAUGGUGAGACGAGAACCUGAUCCGGUCACAUAUUUCUUUUGUUUCUCUGCCAUGUUCAAAUAUAGAAAACAUGUAGCUUAGUCGAUACUAAAUGUUUGGCACCAGAGUUUUUUCGCAGUAAUCAGAUGUUUUUUUUACUGAAGGCCUUCCUAUCUUACUGCAUGUAUCACUUAAUAUUAACACUUCAACAUUACUCGUGACUUGUGAUGACACAGUGUGUUCAUUGUCCGAUGUGCCGCAUGACCAUUGAAUAGUACUCAGAGCAUACACCUAUUCGUGCCUCAUUAUGCUGUACUUGGAUGAAGUUUCCCAGAAUAGUUGGCAGUUUACAUUGACAUGGCAGGCAGGGAUGUGGAAUUACAAAAGAUGAUAUUUUGGAAGAGCUGGUUCUGGAGCUGAUGUACACCUACUUUGAGUACUUUCAAUAUUGUUUUCUACUUCCAAAGUUGUUUGGGUGGUAAAUUAUUUUUCAAGUUUGCAAGCAUAUAUUUAUUAAUUUUCUACCCGUUGCACCGCACAUGCCUUUUGGCUUGGCCUUCGCCCUCCACGCACGCCAGCUGCGGUGGAAGCCUAGCUCCCACAGCUCUGCAGUGAGGCACGCAGAGAGUGACGACAACUUCUGAAGCCAUGGCUAGCCUGUGAUUACCAGAGUGGCGAUGAGUGUGAUUUGAUACCUGUUUUGUUUGCUCCUUCUGUUUUGAUUUGAGUUGAUGGGGAUGAGAUGUGACCCUGCUGCUGGGCGUCGCAAACGCCACGGCUCCAUGUGCCCCAGCUUUGGUGAUGCACGGGCGAGGCUACUCGAUCUGGUGUAGUCGCCCUCCUUCCAAGAAAUCAAGUUCUUUCGUUCAGAUUUUAGAUCUCUUGAGUUUCAGCUUAGUUCAAGGAUAGAAAAGCAUGCUCCUUAUGGAUUCAAUGAGGAAAACCAUCAGCCACUUAUUCAGAAUUGGAUGGUGUGGUGCACCUUCAUCUUGCUAUCCAACUUCUUAGCUUAUUUGCUUUAACUUUACUACAGUUAUAUAGCAGGAUAAGGAUCCAAUCUUGUGACGCCACUCCAUUUCCAUCGUCAAAAGUUGUGCAUGAGUUGAUUCAGACUUUCAGAGUUCAGAGAACACCUAGCAGAGUUAAUCAGCCUGAAGGUAUAUCAGAUCCUAAGGAAAGAGGACCCGGUUCAGAUUUGUCACUAAUAUGUGUUGUUGGAUAGCCAUGGUAUGUGUUAGUUUUAAUUUACCACAGAAGUUUGAUUCUUGGGAGAUAGGACAGGUGCAUACAUUGCUUUUCUUAUGAAUCUGUUCUCUUUUUGUGCACUAUCUAUCUAUGAAAAUUUUCAAAGAAAUUGACGGCGGCGGCUCGGCGGCGGUGUGGCGAAUGACGAAGCAUCUAAAAUGGACGGAAGAGAGGUGGUAAGGCGCGGCUGGGAGACGUACAUAUUUGAGGAAAUACGAUUCAUAAGGUUUCAUAUUAACAAAAAUUGAUAGUCUUUGUAAAGUAAUCCGAACAUUUUGUUGAUUCCGGGACAACUUUAUUCUCCAAUAUGAAUUUGUAAGAAAAGAUAUGGCAUACAUUUGUGUAAAUUGAUAAUGUAAGCACAUCUAGAAACUCUAUUAUUUUUUCAAGAUUGAUUUACUUGCUGGUGCUAACUUCCAUUUUCUCAAAACAGGGCAUGUGUGCUAUUUCUGAAAAAACAGUUGCAGUGUUCUCA